UGGAAUAUAGCACAGUGGUUGCGCAUUCGACUGCAAGUCGAGAGGUCUCUGGCUCGACCCCAGGCGUUCCCG
rnacentral:tRNA from 1 species